AACGAACGCUGGCGGCAUGCCUAACACAUGCAAGUCGAACGAGACCUUCGGGUCUAGUGGCGCACGGGUGCGUAACGCGUGGGAACCUGCCCUUAGGUUCGGAAUAACUCCCCGAAAGGGGUGCUAAUACCGGAUAAUGUCUUCGGACCAAAGAUUUAUCGCCUUUGGAUGGGCCCGCGUUGGAUUAGCUAGUUGGUAGGGUAAAAGCCUACCAAGGCGACGAUCCAUAGCUGGUCUGAGAGGAUGAUCAGCCACACUGGGACUGAGACACGGCCCAGACUCCUACGGGAGGCAGCAGUGGGGGAUAUUGGACAAUGGGCGAAAGCCUGAUCCAGCAAUGCCGCGUGAGUGAUGAUGGCCUUAGGGUUGUAAAGCUCUUUUACCCGGGAUGAUAAUGACAGUACCGGGAGAAUAAGCACCGGCUAACUCCGUG
rnacentral:rRNA from 1 species